GACAUCAAUCAUCAAUUAUCUGGUUUUCCACAUUGUCCAGUGAUAUUAAGAACAUCUAAAAGCCGGAACACAAAAGCCGCUUCUCUCCAGAACUUUGUUCUUUUCACUUGGUUGAUCAAAGAGCUCUAAAAUUGGUGUCCAGGAGAUGAACAUUGUUGGGGUGACAUGAUGACAAUGGGGAGUGAAAGUGUGCUGGAGCAGAUAUGUCAAUGCUGGAAAGAAAAAGGAAGGGAAAGGGCUCUUUUUAAUUCAUAGAGCAUAUGAAUUUGCCAUGGCUUACUGAGGGAAAUUAAGCGUUCCGCUCGCACGUCACAAUAUGAUUACACAACACAUUGAUGAUAUACAGAAACCAAAAGGAUUCAAAUUGUCGUGGCAAGGAAGUCCAAUCAAAUGUCAGAAUGCAACGAAAUCAAGAAAGAAGACCAAUCGAAAUUCACUAUUGCAAAGUUCACUGCAGUCAGAUUUCGAAAGGUGAACGGUUUGCCAACGUAAGUUAGAGAUUUCCAAACUUAAUUUUGAAUGUCUUAAAU
ensembl:lncRNA